UGGCGGACGGGUGAGUAACACGUGGGUAACCUGCCUAAAAGAAGGGGAUAACACUUGGAAACAGGUGCUAAUACCGUAUAUCUCUAAGGAUCGCAUGAUCCUUAGAUGAAAGAUGGUUCUGCUAUCGCUUUUAGAUGGACCCGCGGCGUAUUAACUAGUUGGUGGGGUAACGGCCUACCAAGGUGAUGAUACGUAGCCGAACUGAGAGGUUGAUCGGCCACAUUGGGACUGAGACACGGCCCAAACUCCUACGGGAGGCAGCAGUAGGGAAUCUUCCACAAUGGACGCAAGUCUGAUGGAGCAACGCCGCGUGAGUGAAGAAGGUCUUCGGAUCGUAAAACUCUGUUGUUAGAGAAGAACACGAGUGAGAGUAACUGUUCAUUCGAUGACGGUAUCUAACCAGCAAGUCACGGCUAACUACGUGCC
rnacentral:rRNA from 1 species